rnacentral:tRNA from 1 species
GGAGAGGUGACCGAGCGGCUGAAGGUGCAGCAUUGGAAAUGCUGUGUACGGCUUGUCCGUACCGCGGGUUCGAAUCCCGCCCUCUCCGC